UAUAGCCGGCCAUAGCAAGAACAAAGAGAGAAAAAGAAGAACAAGAACCCUAGGUGGGAAAAUUGAAGAAAAGGUGUAGAAUUUCAAGGGAUUAAGCUAACAAAGGUAAAAUUUCUUGAUUUUAUCUUGUGAUUUACACUACCCAUGCUUUCUUUUUCAUUUUCCAUGCUUAGAACUCAAGAUUUCAUGAGGAUACCCUUGCUGGCCGAACACCUAGGAGAGAGAAUUUGAUGAUGUUUUGGGUAGAUUCUAAGAUAUUCUAGUGUUUUUAGUUAGUUAGUGAUGUGUCGCAUGAAAAGCCAACAAGAAAAAUUUAUUUUCUCCCAUUACCCAUCAUUGGCCGAAUUUUCUAGGGAGGAUAUUGUGGCUGAAAUUGAUGAUAUUUUAUGAUAGUUUGGUGAUAUUUGAUGUUUAGUGAUGCUAGAAAUUAAAUGAGAAAUUUUGGUGUGAAAAUUUGAAUUUUUGCUUAACGUAUAGACAUGUGUGAUUAUUAACCCAAGACUGAUAAAUUGAAUCUCAUUCACAGUCACUGAGGUAAUUUAGGUAUAAUUGGAGUGUAGAAAGUGAGAAGAAUUGAUUUGGAGUUAAAUUGGAGAUUUUAGCCGAUUAGACCGAGUAUAGUGUGACUUAGGUCGAAUAUCACAUUUAAGUGAUUAAUCGGACAUUUUGCAUCCCAUCGCAUGCAUUCAUUUAGAUUUAGAGAGCCUGAAAUAGUUUAUAAUAAAUUGACACAAUUUAUUGAAAUUUGUGUCACAUAUGAUGUAUAGGUGGUGAGCCCCUUAACAAGGGUAAAGAGAUUGUGCCCGAAAAUCGAGAAUAGGAGUAUAUCGAACUCCUAGUACUGUGAGUAACUUUAUUAUCAUUUUAAUUAUCUAAAGUAUGUUUUUAUUUGGUUUUGGUGAAAUUUUAUGAAAAUGAGUUAAAUGGCUAAUUUUAGGUUGUACAAACAAAAAUGAGUUUAAAUAAAAAGAUUUUAUAAAUUGUUUUGGAAACUGAAUGAUGAUUUUGAAAAUAGAGUAAUUGGAGACCACUGAUAUGUUGUAAAUUUAAGACUGAAUUGAUGGCUUAUGUUGUUGUGUUGGCAUGAUUGGUUGGGCUGUGUUUUAUGAAUUAUAUGAAUUGUUUUAUUUUACCCUUGCAGGCUGGGUAGUAAUAUUUUAGCCCUGUCAUGCUGUCAAAAUUUUAUUGUAUGGUGGGUUUUGCUUGCCGCAGUGGGCGAGUUUUCGUGGACCAGCCUAUUAGAGGGGCAUGGUAAACCCCGUUGUAUCUUACCUCAAUAUGAGAGGCGCGGGUGGAUAACUCCUGAGGCUAACACUGUUAGAGUUCACUUCACGCUAAACCACCACGUGAAGGUGAACUCAGCCAACGCUAUGGAAUGACUAUGUUUUUAAAAUAAAAAUAUGAUUUAUGCGAAAUGUGAAUUUUUAACAGCCUUGGCAGACUCGGUUUGGGAUAACCCUCGGCCAAUGUAUCCUUGAUAACUGAGUAUGAUAAUGGUUUUUGACACGAGCUAAGCUUUUAAGAUACUCAUAAGCCAUGUUAAUGUUUUUAAAUGAAAUGAAUAUUUAUGUUCUGAAAAACAUAUUUGGAUGAAAUGUUUUAAUAGUCUCUUUUUACUCGCCUUUAGAUAUUUUAAAUAAUAUUUGCUUACUCACUGGGAUUAUAUAAUCUCACCACCCUCAUUUCCACCCAUUUCAGGCUCAAGAUAAUCGGGGUAGAUAGUUCAUUUCAUCGAGGAUUACAAUUAGACUAACAUCUUCAAAAUAUGUAAAUUUAUCUCUCUAGAUACUUUUGAUCGUUCGUGGGCCCACAUGUCACUGCAAAUUUAAUUGUAUAUUUUGAUUACCUGUAUUACAGUAUAUAUGAAUUUAUUCAGCUUUUACGCUACGAAGAUUAUUAUUUUAUUUGUUUUAAAUCGAAAAUAGCUUAAACUCUUUUAGAACGUGAUAUUUGGAAAUGGUUACUCACAAGGAAAAUAAGAAGCUGAUAUUAAAAUCUUGCGGGAUUCCAAUUGACAUUUCGAGUAAUGAGUGUCAAUCGGGAUAUCGCGACUGUUGUCACGGGCUCGAAGGGAGUUCCGGGUCAUGACAUAAAUAACAAGAGAAGCUGAUUUUAAAGAAAAGUUGAAUGAAC
rnacentral:lncRNA from 1 species